GAAGAACUCUGGAAGCCUGGGUUUCUUCCAGGGGGCAGGCGCCGAGGCGGGAGUUGCGCGCGACGCGCCUACCGUGCCUCAGUUUCCCUAGUCCGGGACGCGGAAGCGCGGGUGACUGCGUUGAGUGCUCCCGGACUCGCGGAAGUCUGCAAGUGUAGGGUAGAGAAGUUGCCUUUCUGGUGAUGCAGAUUGUUGCUCUCGAGCGCGGUGGACGCCGUCUCCGGGCCAGAUUCCCAGCCUGCCAUUUCUUCUCUUCCCUUUCACUUUUAUAAAAGUUCACAGCUCUCACUCAAGUCGAAAUCUGUCUUACGGUUGGGAAAGGAAAACCUUUAGCUUAGCAAAGAAGGAUAAUUACAGAGUUCGUAAUAAACCUGCCCUGCUAGCAAGGUCUUCUCCAAGUCAGUUAAAAAACUAAGUUCACUCAUCUCUGCCGGUUGUACUUUUCAAAAGUAACUUCCUAAACUUUGAAAUGCUGCAUCCGGCGACUUUAAGUUAGCCCUUUCAUUAUUGAGAAACUUCAUUUCAUUAUUAAAGGAAUCAUUUUAACCCUGCCAUUGGAGGUAGUGACGCAAAAGUGACAUAGACGCAGUCGGUAAAUCAGAAAACGGGUAAAAUCGACCCACUGGGGACAGAACCGUCUAAAGUUUCGGGUGAUUGUUAUAAUUAUUUAACAAACUGCAAAGCAGUUCCCGCACAGUGGACCUCAUUCGUUCUAGGCACUUGGCUCUCUUUUCCAGCUGAGGCCUCAGGAUUAAAUAACAACAUAUUUUGUGCCCGAGGAAUCCCUAUAUCCCUAUAUAUGGGUAACUGAGGAGACUAGACUGUGACUGAGUGCAACACAUUUCUACAAAACAUAACUUUUACUAAUACAUUGUUUUCCUUUUUUUUAAUUUUUUUUUUAUUUUAUUUUUGGAGACAGGAUCUUGCUCUGUCACCUAGGCUAGAAUGCAAUGGUGCGAUCUGGGCUCGCUGCAGCCUCGACUCCCUGGAAUCAAGCCAUCCUCCCUUUUCAGCCUCCCGAAUAGCUGGAACUACAGGCACGCACCACCACGCCUAGCUAAUUUCUAAAAUUUUUUUGUAGAGAUGCAGUUUCACCAUGCUGCCCAGGCUGGUCUCAGACGCCCGGGCUCAAGCUGUCCUCCUGCCUCGGCUUCCUGAAGUGCUGGAAUUACAAAAGUGAGCCACUGCACCCAGUCUUAUUAAUACAUUUUUAAUUUCAACUCUUGAAGUAAUCGGAGUAACAGGCAGUUGUAAAAAAUAAUAAUAAAUCGUUUGUUCACUUUGCCCAGUUCUCCCCACUGGUAAUGUCUUCCAAAACUCUAAUACAGUAUCACAAUUGGGAUAUUGACAUUGAUACGAUCCACCCAUCUUAUUCAGAUUUCCUCAGUCUUACUUGUACGUAUUCGUACGUGCCUGUGUUUAGGUCUAUGCAAUUUCCUGACUUGUGUAGGUACCACCACAGUCAAGUACAAGUGCAUUUUAUUUCUAAUUCAUAGGCAAUGAUAAGGUAAUACAGUGAGGUUCACAAUAAUGAACCCAACCACCUUGGCACUGGUUUUUGGAAAUGUGUUAGAAAACACAUAAUUAAUUUGGCAUUAAAACUGUACUAGGCAUAUCUCUCUCCAAAUGUCAUCUUCUAAAAGCACCAGAUAAAUUUCGAUGGCAGUGCCAACCAGUUAGUAGGGUUUCUAAACCACUAUUUGUUGGCCCAGUAUACCUGGGCACCUUUCAGACUAGUUCCUGUCUUAUAGCCACUUUGCAAUACAAUAUCUCCCUCAUUCCAGACUGAAUUAAGGAAAAAUUCCUUGGCCUGGAAUCCAAAGUUCUUUAUGACAUGAGUGACUUUUUGACCAGUAUUUUCUCCAACUUCUCCCGUGUGUAAAUUUUUUGAGACUCACCUUAAAAACCUCUUCCUCCGGGAAGACUGCUAAACUAAAUAUUUCCUCUCUAGGACCCUUGAAGCUCCUUGCUCCAGAUAUGCUUCUUGUAUUCUGUUAGUUACCAGCAUAUGUGUGUUAUUGGUGUUAUAUUGGUGUUAUAUGGUGAUGCCUACCUAUCUGAGCCCCUGGAAAGUGGUCUGGGUCUCAUGCAGCUAAGUAUGCCCUGCCCAGGACAUACAAAUGGGAAGUGACUCUCAUUGUCAUCUCUCCACUCUUCCAAAUGCUUUCACUCUCCUCAGCCACCUUGAUCAAUGCAUAGGACCAGUGCAUGGAUUUAGGGCCCCAGCACCUAAGGGCAGGAACAUUAAGUGCAACCCGCUAAAAUGGCAGCAGAUACCAUAUACUGCGUCCAUGCUUAGCACUUGGCAUUUUACAUUUGCCAUCUCAAUUAGUUCUCACAGAACCUGUGUAAAGUAGUAAUUAGUACCCCCAGUUUACACAAGGGAAAAACUGAGAUGUUAGGGAGGCUAUAUAACUUGUCCAUGGUCACAUAGUCAGAACCUGAAUUCCUUCCGACUCAUGUUUAUAACCUGUAUUCAUAACCCCUGACCUCUACUGUCACCAAAGCUGAAAUGAAUAUAAAUCAAAGCAGUGGAAUGCCAGGCACUGAUCUAAGUACUUUCCAGAUAUUACCUCAUUUGAUCCCCACAGCCACCCUAUGAGGUGGUUACUAUUAUUAGUCUUAUUUUAUAGAUGAACGAGCCGAGGACCGGAGAGAUGAAAUAACUCGAUCAGGGUCAUAUAUUUAGUAAGUGCAAAGCAAAAAUUCAAACCCGGGCAGUCCAGCUCCAGAUUUCAUGCCCUUAGCCUCCCACUGUAUUGUAUUAGCUGCUCCCACUUAGCUAUUGUAUUAGCUGCCCACUGCAAUGAAGGCAGAAGAUCAACGUCCACAGGGGUGACUUACCUGGAGAUGUAACAAUCAUGUAUAUCACUAAUGAUACAAAAGGGUUCAUUUCCCCCCACCAGUUCUUACCAAGAAAGAAGCUGAAACAGUGGUCUACUGAGUGGUAACAAAUCAUGCUGAGACAAACUCUUGAGUCAGCCUGAAGCUAGGAAGGAGAGCCAGAGCCAAUGGGUUAGAAUUGACCCUAAAGUUGUACCUGGCUCCAGAAGAUAUUGCUUUGGAAGACAAGGAGAGAUGUAUUAAUAAGGAUGAUACUAGUUACCUCUUUUCUUUUUUUUUUUUUUUUUUGAGACAGUCUCUCUCUGUCACCCAGGCUGGAGUGCAGUGGCGCCAUCUAGGCUCACUGCAAGCUCCGCCUCCCAGGUUUACUUAUGCCAUUCUCCUGCCUCAGCCUCCCGAGCAGCCUGGACUACAGGCGCCUGCCACCAUGCCCGGCUAAUUUUUUAUAUUUUUAGUAAAGAUGGAGUUUCACCGUGUUAGCCAGGAUGGUCUCGAUUUCCUGACCUCGUGGUCCACCCGCCUCGGCCUCCCAAAGUGCUGGGAUUACAGGCGCAGGCCACUGCACCCGGCAGAAGUCCCACUCUUAAUAAUACACCAAAGAGAGACUCAGAUGCAUAUGCACCAGGACACAUGUGCAAGAAUAUUCACUGGACAUUUUUGUAAUAACCCCAAACAAGAAACAACUGCAAUGUCCACUAGUGCCAGAAAGGAUAAAUGAAUUGUGAUGUAAUCAUACAAUGGAAUACUAUACAGUGAUGAAAAUGAAUGAACAACAGCUACAUGCAAUGACAUGGGUGAAUCCUUAAAAUAUACUGAGUAAAACGAAUAUGAAAUAAUCCAUAUAGUACAAUUGUUUUUAUAUAAAGAUUAAAAACAAGGAAAAUUUAACAGCAUUGUUAAAGAUACAUAUUUAGAAAGAAGAAAAAAAUUCAAUAGAAGAACAAGAAGAAUGGCCAACAAAUCUGGGGUAGUGGUCAUCACUACAGGGAGGGUGUUGUGAUGAAGAAGGAAAACACAGGAAGGAGGCUUCUGAACUGCUGGCAAUGUUUAUUUUUGCCUGGUUGCAUCAUGAAUGCUCACUGUGAUUCAUGAAGCUAUGUAUUUAUUUUAAACACGCUUUUCUACUAUUGUAUUAAUAUUUCACAAUUUUGGGAGGGGGAGACAAGGUCUCACUGUGUCAACCAGGAUGAAGUGCAGUGGCGCCAUCUUGGCUCACUGCAGCCUCCACCUCCCAGGCUCAAGUGAGCCUCCCACCUUACCCUCCUGAUUAGCUGGGACUACAGGCAUGCACCACCACGCCUGGCCAAUUUCAUGUGUGUGUGUGUGUGCUCCCCUACUGGUUUUGAACUUCUGGGCUCAAGUGAUCCUUUUGCCUCAGCCUCCCAUAGUACUGGGAUUACAGGCAUGAGCCCCCAUGCCCAGCCACAAUUUUUUUUCAAAGUUAAAAAUACAUGCUAAAGACAACUAUCAAUAAUCACAUACCUCCCAUGCAUCAAGGACUUCACUUGGUUGUGAGUCCUAUCCCUUCUUACAUUUUCAUAGUCCUUUCUGUACACAUUAUUCCUCUCUCUUCCAGAUCUUCAGCUUCUAUACUUGAUCCUUUUCAUCAGCAUUUAAAUAAAUCUCUUUCCCAUCUUAAAUACAACAAAAAAUAACCUUCUGUUGUUCUGGCCUCAUGCCCAGCUACUGUCCUCUCUCUUCCCUUUCAUGGCAAAACGUCUGAGAGGAAUUGUCUGGCCUCAUUGCCUCCAUUUAUUUACCUCCUACUUAUUUCUCAACCCUCUCCAAUUGGGCUUCUGCACCCAUCAGGAAUUGCAUUCAAACAGUGGUCGUUCUAGCCUUUCAUGAGUGUAGUUAGUUCAGUAGGCCUUUCAUCUACCAUCUUACUUGUAUUAUUUGACAUUAUUAACCACCACCUCCCUGAGACACUCUGUUCAUUUAAUUCCUACUUCUCUGGCUGCUCUGUCUCAUUUUGCUUAACUGACCUGGUCCCCUCUAGCGAGCCAUGAAUUUUGUAAUUCUGGAUCUUAGGCUUUCUUCUAGUUUCACUUUAUAUCCUGUCUCCAGCUGAGCUCGUUCACUCCAUUGGUUUCAAUUAUUAUUUUUUCGCUGUUGUCUUCCAAACAUGCACAUGUGAUCCAUCUGUCUCUCUCUCUCUCUCUCUCUCUCUCUCUCUCUCUCUCUCUCUGGAACUCCAGAUGUGUAUAUCUGAUCUCUUACAUGAUACCACCAUCUGGGUAUCUCAAAAGUAUCUCAAGCAACCUGUCCAAAACCAUAAUCUUCCACUGUAAACUUGGUUCUCAUCCAGUGUUUCCAUCUCUGGGAAAUCAGCAGAAACCUAGAAUGUUAGGCUUGAUACCUCCCUACCUGAUAAAUACCCUUCAAGAGUGUUCUAUCAUGUUUAGAAAAUAAGUCCUUUCUAAGGCCCUUAAUGAUCUAACCCUCCCCUACCCCUGACACCUUUUCAAGCAUCUUGCACCUCUCCCUCCCAACACUGUGUUCUUCCCAAACUAGAUAACUCCUAAUUUCUCAAAUUUAUCAUUUGCUCACAGGGCCCUUGUUUGUGUUGGUAUAGCUCCUUAGAAUACUUCUCCCUCUUCUUGAGCUAAUUAAUUCCUCUCUUCCUGUUAUAAGUUCAAAUGUUAUUUCAUCAAGAAAGUCUUUACUGAUCCCUCAGACUUUAUCUCCUGGUUUUCUAUUGUGUUAGUUGUCUAAUGGUGGGUAACAAAUCUCUUUAAAACUCAAUGUCUUAAAACAGUAAUAAUCAUUUAUUAUUUCUCACAGCUUCUGCAUUUGGGAAUGGCAUGGCUAAGUGGUUCUGGCUUGUGGUCUCUCCUGAGAUUGCAGAGGUCAGCGAGGAAUGCAUUAUCUGAAGGUCUGAUUAAGACUGGAGUUUCCACUUAAAGACUGCUCACUCAUGUAGCUGGCACGUUGGUGUUGGCUGUUGUCAAGAAGCCUCAGUUCUGCUCUACAUAGGACUCUCCUUAUUUCCUAGGCUUCCUCACAACCUGUUGACUUGAUCUCACAGUUAAGCAUUGAAGGAGAGAAAGAGAGAGAGGAGCAAGUGAGUGCAUGGAAGAAAGCUGUAUCCUUCUGUAUGAAUUAGCCUCAGAAGCCACAUAGCACCACUUCUGCCAUAUUCUAUUUGUCAGAAGUGAGACACUAAGACUGGAUCAUAUCUAAUCAGAGAGGAAUUAGAUUCUACCUUAUUCUAAAAAGAGGGAGAGGAACAGCAUCAAAAAAAAUGAGGAAGAGAAGGGCAGGGAGCAAGAGUAAAGGCUUUGGAGCUCAGCAAGACUGGGUUGAAUCUCAGCCUCAUUGUUUACUUGAUGUGUAAAAGCAGGUAAGUAAUUUAUUUUCAUAUUGUAGAAAAAUAUUGCUGGUCUGUUUAUGGGCAUUUAAAAUAAAAAUAUGACUAAUAUAAUAGUCUGUUUAUAUAUUUUUUAAGUAUGUGUCAAUAUACAGUACAUAGAUAUAUAUGCACAGAAAAAGGACCAGAAAGCUAUAUGCCAACAUAUUGACAGGUAAUUAGAUAAUAGGUGAUUUUUAAUUUUUUUUUUUUUUUGGUCCUUUUCUGUGUUUCUGAAGUUUGAAGCAUCAUGAGCCAAGUGUGCUGGCACAUGCCUGUAAUCCCAACAUUUUGGGAGGCUGAGACAGGUGGAUCACUUGAGGUCAGGAGUGGCAACAAGGCGAAAACCCAUCUCUACUGAAAAUACAAAAAAUUAUCUGGGCAUGGUGGCAUGUGCCUGUGAUCCCAGCUACUUGGGAGGCUGAGGUGGGAGAAUCACCUGAGCCCAGGAAGUUGAGGCUGCAGUGAGCCGUGAUCACGCGGCUGCGCUCCAGUCUGGGUGACAGAGGAGACCUUGUCUGAAAUAAAUAAAGAAAUAAAUAUAAAGCAUGGUGACUUUUAUAGAGAAGGUCAGCUAAGAAAUGAUCUGUAUUAAAUAACUGCACUAUAAAACCCCUAAGUAUCUAUGUUUUAAGCAAGUUUUUUGUUUGUCUGAUUGGUUGGUUGGUUGUUUGGUUUGGUUUGAUUUGGGUUUUUUUGAGACAGAGUCUGACUUUGUCACCCAGGCAAGAGUGCAGUGGCGCUAUCUCGGCUCACUGCAAACUCCACCUCCCAGGCUCAAGUGAUUCUCCCACGUCAGCCUCUCCAGUAGCUGGGACUAUAGGCGCAUGCCACCAUGCCUGGCUAAUUUUUUUUGUAUUUUGGCAGAGAUGGGGUUUCACCAUGUUGCCCAGGCUGGUUUAAACUCCUGAGCUCAGGCAAUCCACUCACCUCAGCCUUCCAAAGUGCUGGAAUUACAGAUGUGAGCCACCGUUCCUGGCCUGUUUUAAGCAGUUUUAAGCAAAAUCCAAAGCAGAAUUCUGGCGGAAGCCAGGCAUUAUAUCAUGACACUCAAACAGCUCUGUGGAGAAGCCCACCUGGAGAUAAACCAGAGCCUCCCGUCCUCCGUCAGCAUUGACUUGCAAGCCAUGUGACAGCUACCUUGGAAGUGGAUCCAGCAACCUCAAGAGAGGUUGCCCCCGCCACCCUCCAGUUCAUGUACUCCCAAAUUCCUGACCCAUAGAAACUGUGAAAGAGAAUAAAUAUUGGUUUAAUCCAUGAAGUUUUGAGGCCAUUUUACUUGGCAAUUGCUAACAAAUACAGGCUUAUCUGCUUCUCACUGACUGCAUUCAAGUUCCUCAUCUUUGCCAGGCAUGUUGCUGUAAUGAUGCUGUGUUCUUCUGAUCGCUUUCUAUCACGUCCUGCAUGAUUUCACCUUGUCACAGUAUUGGUGAUGUUAAAUUUGAUUACUUGAUUAAAGGAAUAUGUGUCAUGCUGUGGAGUCGGAAAGUUAUUCUAUUUCUAUGUAUGUAAUUAAUAAGCAAUUUGUGGGGAA
rnacentral:lncRNA from 10 species